rnacentral:rRNA from 1 species
UAUCCGCCUGGGGACUACGAGCAUCAGCUUAAAACCCAAAGGACUUGGCGGUGCUUUAGACCCACCUAGAGGAGCCUGUUCUAGAACCGAUAAUCCUCGUUAAACCUCACCUUUUCUUGUUCCCCCCGCCUAUAUACCGCCGUCGUCAGCCUACCCUAUGAAGGCCCCAAAGUAGGCAAAAUUGGCACAGCCCAAAACGUCAGGUCGAGGUGUAGCGAAUGAAAAGGGAAGAAAUGGGCUACAUUCAUUAUGUUAAUAAUGCACACGGAUGGUAACCUGAAACAAUUACCUGAAGGAGGAUUUAGCAGUAAGCAGGAAAUAGAGUGUCCUACUGAAACUGGCCCUGAAGCGCGCACACACCGCCCGUCACUCUCCCCGAAAUAUCGUAUCAUCAUACUUAAUAAGUUAAACCUCAAAAGGGGAGGCAAGUCGUAACAUGGUAAGUGUACCGGAAGGUGCACUUGGACAAACCAGAGUAUAGCUAAACAACGAAUAGCAUCUCCCUUACACUGAGAAGAUAUCCGUGCAAACCGGAUUACCCUGACGCCCAGCAGCUAGCCCAAACAACUAAAACAAACAAAUCCCCAUUAAUUACCCCUCACUCACUAAAAACCAAAAAUAAAGCAUUCUACCCCUCUUAGUAUAGGAGAUAGAAAAGAACCUAGGCGCAAUAGAGAAAGUACCGCAAGGGAAAGCUGAAAGAGAAAUG